rnacentral:lncRNA from 1 species
GCUCCUUUCUCUGUGUAUGAAACAUGCGGGUACAAUGCAGCCCUUUUGCUACAUGCAGGACAUGCAUCAUUGGUGGACAGCCAAUCGGAACCCAGUCCUUCCACUGCACUUCAAAACUGAUGGCAGCCUGUCAACCAUGUUGGCCUGGCAAGGUCCCCAAGACUGGCAAUGGGCACAAGUCCCCUGUAACACCUUAAUUACUCAUGACAAAAAUAAAGAUCAUGUGGAGGUUU